UUCAGACUACUCUGAUACUUUAGCCUUUCCAGAUUACAGGUCAUUUCAACAACUACAUGUACUUAUUAGAAACAUUUCUGUGACUUAAAAGUUGCCGGGCAUUUAAGAUUUGCGAACCUACAUCAAAAUUUACAUUUGAGCUUAUUACCUUCCUGGGAACAGGGCAACAGUGCUUUCUGAGACUACUCCGAAAACUGGGAAUAGUCCCACCUUAAGACCCAACUCUACCACUCCUUGGCAUAUACCCAAAUGAUGCUCCACCAUCCCACAAAGAUGCUUGCACAACUAUCUUCAUA